CCCAACUAUCCCUAUUAAUCAUUACAUCGAUCCUAGAAACCAACAAAAUAGAAUCGGAUGUCCUAUUUCAUUAUUCCAUGCUAAUGUAUUCAAGCGUGAGCCUGCUUUAAACACUCUAAUUUUUUCAAGGUAACAGUCCUAAUUCCCCGUGACACCAAAUUAAUGGCAUUACGGUUCUUUAGAAGGUGAGAAAUCAAUAAUAUCAGUACAUACCAACGGCAUGACCGAAACAUUGAUCCCGAAAUUCAACUACGAGCUUUUUAACUGCAACAACUUUAAUAUACGCUAUUGGAGCUGGAAUUACCGCGGCUGCUGGCACCAGACUUGCCCUCCAA
rnacentral:misc_RNA from 2 species